CCUACGGGAGGCAGCAGUAGGGAAUCUUCCACAAUGGACGAAAGUCUGAUGGAGCAACGCCGCGUGAGUGAAGAAGGGUUUCGGCUCUUAAAGCUCUGUUGGUAGUGAAGAACGGUCACUGUGCUAAUCAGCAGUGAAUUGACGGUACCUGCAAAGGAAGCACCGGCUAACUCCGUGCCAGCAGCUGCGGUAAUACGGAGGGUGCGAGCGUUAAUCGGAAUUACUGGGCGUAAAGGGCGCGUAGGCGGUAUGUCAAGUCAAGGGUGAAAUCCCCGCGCUCAACGUGGGAACUGCCUUUGAAACUGGCAAACUUGAGGGUGUGAGAGGAUAGUGGAAUUCCAGGUGUAGGAGUGAAAUCCGUAGAUAUCUGGAGGAACAUCAGUGGCGAAGGCGACUAUCUGGCACAUAACUGACGCUGAGGAGCGAAAGCGUGGGUAGCAAACAGGAUUAGAUACCCUAGUAGUC
rnacentral:rRNA from 1 species